AAUGAACGCUGGCGGCAGGCCUAACACAUGCAAGUCGAACGGAUCCUUCGGGAUUAGUGGCGGACGGGUAAGUAACGCGUGGGAACAUACCCUUUGGUACGGAAUAGCCUCGGGAAACUGGGAGUAAUACCGUAUGUGGUCGAGAGACGAAAGAUUUAUCGCCAAAGGAUUGGCCCGCGUUGGAUUAGGUAGUUGGUGGGGUAAUGGCCUACCAAGCCGACGAUCCAUAGCUGGUUUGAGAGGAUGAUCAGCCACACUGGGACUGAGACACGGCCCAGACUCGUACGGGAGGCAGCAGUGGGGAAUCUUAGACAAUGGGGGAAACCCUGAUCUAGCCAUGCCGCGUGAUCGAUGAAGGCCUUAGGGUUGUAAAGAUCUUUCAGGUGGGAAGAUAAUGACUGUACCACCAGAAGAAGCCCCGGCUAACUCCGUGCCAGCCGCCGCGGUAAUAC
rnacentral:rRNA from 1 species